rnacentral:lncRNA from 1 species
AAAAAAUUAAAGGAAAAGGCUUAAAGCCUUAGGAGGAACGAGAGACAAGGGCUGGAAAACAAUUGCAAAGAAUUCUACAUAACAAAAAAAUAGAUUUUUCAAGGAGCAAGAAACAGAGGCUACAAUGCUUCUCGACUACUUCAGACCUUCUUUAGGUCACGAUUGAGGUAAUUCUUUUUAUGGGAUUGUAAGCUAUAACAUCAUUAUACACUAGAAUCUAACAACCUAACGGGGUGAAUUCAUAGGAAAGUUUUACAAAACCUCAAGGACACCCAUCAAGUACGAGUUAGGUUUUUGGUGUUACAAGAUAAAUUCUUUACUUUUAUUGGAUUGAUAUAACAGGUUAGGGUUGUUAGAGAUAGUAAAGAUUUGUUAGAACAAGACCUCACCCCAAAACUUAGAAAUUUAGAAGUUGAACCUAAAGUUCUUAGAGUUGAGAAAAGAUUAAUACUUUGGAAAAGUUGGAUACUUAUUGUGACUUAUUGUUGUAGUAUUUGAUCGUUGAGUUGAUUACAAGAAUUGGAACUUACAUUAUUGCUUGAAAGGAGAAAUUGAGGUGAGUGGAUAUAACCUUUUACUAAAGUGGUUCUACUCACAAAAAUACGCCCACAAAGUGUUUGAUAAAAUAUUUUAAAGAGUCAACAUGUGCUUAAUUGAAACGUGUGAAUACAUAUUGACUAAGUAUAUUCUAGUUAAAGCUUAUAUAUUUUUCUGGAGAAGUAUAAUCGUCUAUUUUUUUAUAUUUUUAUGCUUUAUUACGUGAUCUUACAUGUUAAAGUUUCAAGAGUUAGAUAAAACUUUUAAAGAUACUUUGAGUAAUUGUAUUUCAUGCUUAUACUAUGUAUACACUCAAGAAUAUUAUUAUGAAUAUUGAAAGAUCACUUUCAAACAAGAUUUAGAUUUGAAAAGUCACAAGAAGAUGUUUUAGAAAGAAAAGAUUUUUUGGAGUAUCCUCUAUUCUGAGAAAGGGUCAUCGUCCAGGCCGAGGGUCCUAACCAAGGCGUUGACUUCUUGAAACUACAUGUGCCAAAGUAGGGAGCAUACGAGCCGAGUGUCUCGUUGGCGAGAAUUUGCCUAGCUAGGCUAAGUUAUGAUACAUGAGUGCUGAGAACCACGAAGCGAGCGGCACCUCGUGGUUUGGGCCUAUUCGAUCAGGUUGGGAUGGAACCCGUGCCGAUCACACGGUGACUAAGACAAAAAUAAGUCGGGAUAGUUGGAACUCCCGAAGUAUGAAGUGAAGUAUUUUUUUUAAGAAAGAAAAAGAAAAGAAUUUCUUUUAGAAUAUUCAUAAACUGUUGUUAUGUAAUUAUUUUAGAAUUGUUCUUAAACGCUUUAUGUUUUCCAUGCAUGUAGAAUAUUUAUUUGUAAUGUAUAUUUUAUUAAGGUUUUGUCCCCUGUCGUUGAGACUCAUUGAGGAUGGUACCGGCGUUCUCUUUUGGGAACCUGCGUUGGUCUGCGGUACAACGUAGGAACCGGUUUUGCAGGAGAGCAGGCUACAGGUUAGGACUUCCCUCACUUCCAGUGUUAUUGGUGAGCUUCGCUUUUGUUCGUGGAGUAUUCCUUUGCGUCUUCAUUAUUUAGAUAUUUCUUUGUUUACUUGGAGAACUAGCCAGAAAAUCUCAUGUCCUGAGCAGUGCAUCAGUUUAUCAGUAGAGGCUUCAUAGACACAGUCGGUGGGUUAAGAUUCAAGUGUUUUUGAUAAAAACUUUGUAGUAUUUCAGUAGUUACUACGAAUAAAGUUUUGGAGUUGGUUUAUUUUAGAUAAUAAAAUUACUUAAAAGUAUUUGAUUAAAGUAUUGCCUUGUUGCAUAUAAAGUUUGAAGUUAUAAUAGUUUUGAUAAGCGUAGAUAGUUCGCUCGGUCAAAUUUAUCGAUCGGGUAUCGGUCACGGCUUGUUCAGAAAAUGGGUUGUGACAACUGUAGACGGAAAUUUCUUUUUUAUUUUGGUCAAAAUUUUGUUGACUUAUUUUCUGAUUACAUUGGUCGGCAGCUUUAGUCGAUUUUUAAUUAAAAUUUUGAUCACGAAAUUUGUGCAUUGUCCGACUACUGUAGUUGAAAAAUUAAAAAUAUUUUUUUAAAAGUUACGACUACUGUAUCGAAAGAUUGGUCAAAAUUUUUUAUUGACUUUGUUCAGACUAUAGUGGUCGGAAAAAUUAAUUCGCGGUAUUUUGCGCCAAAUUUUAAGACUACUACGGUCGAAAUGGCAGUCGCCUACAAAUUAAAAAAAUAUAAAAAAAUUAAUUAUAAUUUUCUGACUACUGUAGUCGAAAAAUUAUGACUACUAUUCUGUAGUCGGAAAAUAGCAUUUUGAAAAAGUAUCCAAACCAUGUACUUAUCACAACAUACAUAUAAGCAAUGUGAUUGGUAAUCCAUAUUAGACAUGUAUAGCAACAUACAUAUAAAUCAUAAUGUUAUCUAGCAUUUACAAUAUGCAUAUAAUGUUGUACAUGCAUAUACAUGCACAUAUAAUCAAGGUAUAUUACAUUAUGCUCAAAAGUGUAUCCAUAUACAACCCCUUAAUAUAACUUGGUUCUUGUGUAUAUGCUCAUUACUUCACAUAUACAGUCACCCCAUAUACAUAACUUAUAUGUAACAUGAUCUGGUUUGAAAAAAUAUCUUUAACACCCGAAAUUUUUUUAAAGUAUUUAAAGGCCAUUAAUUAUACAGUUUAAUUGUUUGAUACAAUUUAGUUAUUUAAGAUAUCACGUAUAGCUUCCAAUCAUCAUACCAUAAGUUUUAAUACUUAAUUCAUACUCAUAUUCCCAUAAUAUAUCCAUACAUGUAAGUCUAAGGGUGUAGGAUUACCUUUUGGAAGAAAUCUUGCAAAACCCUCUUUUGAGUUCUUGAAGAAAUUUCUUGAAAAUCUAUGUAUUUUAUGGAGGAUUGAGUUAGUUUUAGGAUGAAAUUGAUAGAAUGAAAUACCAAAUUAGUAGGGAUUACUCACCUUGAAUAUGGGGGAAGUUGGGGGGCCUGGAGAGAGUGGAAAUGAGCUCCAAGAAUCGGCUAAGAGGAGUGGGAGAAGUGAGCUACCGAAAUGCUCUUUAUAAAGGCUUCAAGCCUAGCUUGUCCAUCCUCGUGCAUCGCGCGGACAUGGACGAACUCUUGUUAAAGUUUGCGUGUUGGGGAUAUACUUCGUUGUUUUGUUGAAAUGAAUGGGGGUCUUUUCUCGUUCAAACCCGUGCGGCGCACGAGUUCAGACGAGCCCUCAAGAUGCAUCCUUCCUAUAUUUCUUGUUUUUCAACUUACCCUCCUUCGAUACAUUGCUAUGAUGUAAAUCCCCAAUUCACUUCCAGACUUUCAUAUAAGUAUGAAAUCAUGAUUACAUGAUGUUACCCUCAUCCAUAGCCAUCUGGGGUACACAAGCGAAAAGUGGAGAUCUCGAGGCGCGAUUUAAGGCUUUAAACCCUUAGCAAGACUUUCUUUGUUCCACCUGCCUCAUUUUAGUAAUUUGAUCAUAGCUUCUUGUAGAAAUAUCCAAAUGACAAAUGGUUUAAUGCGUUUGAAACCAGACUCGAAGGUCUACACUCUAGAGGAAAUAUUCAUUGAAACUAUCUUUAUAUUAUGAGAGUUAUACCCAUUCAAAGUCAAGUGUUGUGCAAAGUUUGACAUCUAUUCCACUUAAUAUUUCCAACUCGUUCCAAACAACUUCUUUCCACUUACAAACCUCCUUAAUAUGUUCCAAAACACUUUUCAUAUGUAUUUUCAAUUCAAAAUAAUAUGGUUCUAUCCCAUAGGUCUCCUUUAGAACUCAAAAAUAUUAUUUCCAAUUAUUGUUAGUGCACUAUAAAGUCUUAAAUUAUUAGAAAUGUUUUACAGGGCCUUACAAACAUAGAGUGAAAGAAAGAAAGAAAAAUUUCUGAAACUAAUUAUGAAUUAAACAUGACAUAACAUUUGUGUAUUUAUAAGACUUUUGAAACUUAUGAUAUUAAAUAUGUCAUAACAUUUAUACAGUGACCUAGGACCAACAUCAGAAGUGGGGCUAUCAGUAAUUCAAACGGGAAAGCACAAGGUGUUCAGAUAUUCAAGAUGGUAUAUACUGAAUGUGUCCACUGCAUCUAGAUAGAGAGAAAUCAAAGAAUAUUUGAGCAGAAAACUAGAAACUGGCAGUAUGUAGUGAGGGAAAUAGCCUACGGUUGUAAUGUUAGAGAAUUAGAAGGGCCUUACAAAAGCUUCUGUUUUAGGUGAGAGGUAGCUUAGUAUGCUGAUUUCCUCUUUGGUGUAGCUAUUUGUGUUUACUGGAUAGUUGGUUGUGUCUUAGUUUAGCACUUUAGCUAUGAUUUGUAAUGUUUCAUUGGUGAUUAAUGAAAAAGGUUAAUUAUCAAAAAAAAUAUUUGUGCGGCUAUAAAAAUUUCUUAUUAAAAAUAAGAUAUAAUAGUUUUUUAGCUGGAAAGCUGGCAUAUAAGAUAUCUGUCAUUCAUGGAAUUUGGCAAUGCUCCAAGUUUGCUUUCAAUUAGCUUUUGUUUUGGUCCACCAGGGCAUCUCAUUCUUAAAUGAAGAGAAAAAUUCUGCUAAAACAUGUGAAAAAUAUUUAUGAAGGAAAAUAUUAUAUUAAGUAGUCCAUAUAGUUAAGAGAUGAAUGUAUAAAGUUAAACACAAUUGAACUUUUAUCUAAAUUCUAUAUCCUAUUAAUUUUUCAGGUAAAGUUAAAGGGAGGAUCAGUGUCUCAUGCUGAGGUCUUUGCGGAGACACGUAAGAAAAAGAAAAAGGACGGUUCAAGAGAAGGAUGAGUUGAGACACGUGCAUCAGAAACAUAUGUAAGAUCAUAUUCUUGGAUGUUUAGACUUUAUAUUUAGAUUUUAUGGUAGGUUUGGAUGUUGUGGUAUAUAUGUUUAGACUUUAUUAUAUUAAUGUCGAUGUGUAUUAGCUAUUUAGACUUGAUAUUGAAUAUUUAGACUUUAAUUAAUGUUUUGGUUUGAUAUUAUGGGAUUUAAAUAUUUGUUUGUUGAAGUUGAAUGGUUGUUUAGCUAGAAUUGGUUGUUUAGUUGGAAUCGUUAGGUUGAAUUGGUUGUUUAGUUGGAAUGGUCAUUUGGCAGGUGGUGUGCUAAUAAAAUGGCAAUAAUUUGCCAAAAUUCAACCCAAUUUUUCGACUAUUGUAGUUAGAAAAUGUGCCCAGAAAUAAUAAAUUUCCGACUAACUUUCCAGAAAAUUUCCAAAAAAAAAUCCAGAAAAUUCAAUAUUCUGAUUACUGUAGUCGAAAAAUAAAAUAAAAAUAAUUAAAAAAUAAUUAUUAUUUAUAUUUUAUUACGACUACAGUAGUCAGAAAUAUUUUUUAAAACAAAUAAUUAUUUUAUUGUUUUUCGAUUACUUCAGUCAGAAAAAAAAAUAGCUCCCUUUUUGAAUUUUUGGCGGAAAUUUUUUUUCGACUACUGUAGUCGGAAUUUUUUUUUCCGACGAACCUUUUUCCGACUAUUGUAAAUCAGUCGGAAAGUAGUCGAAAUAGGUACUUUUUCGACUACUUUUUGACUAUUUUGGUAGUCGAAAAAUAGCGAAUUUCUCAGUGAUGAGUAUGGGACGCACGUCUCGGGCUAUCAGUGACGAGCAUGCAGAUUCACGACUUAGGUUAUUAGUGAUGAGCAUGUGGAUUCAUAUCUCAGGUUUUCAAUUACGAGCAUGUAGAUCCAUCUAGUGGCGGAUGUAGUGUAGUAUCACCCGACUCAACUGAACCCAUAACUUUUGAUGCGGAGUAAAAAUUAAUGUGUAAAAAUUCAUUAAAAGUACAAAAUAGUAGAUAUGAACCCAUAACUUUAAAAAUAUAAUGAGUUUAAUGCUAAAAAUUUUAAAAGUUGAACCCAUAAGAUUUAAAUUCUGGAUCCAUCUCGGGUACAUGUUAAAUGGAUCCUCCCUCACGAGUUACUAACCAUAUUGGAACCAAGGGAACGUGUAUGCGCACGAUAUUGGUCAUGCCGGUUGGUUUUUCUGAUAGUUGUAUCAUUAUAUGCUCUGUUCCUAUGCAUAGUGUUGUAUGUUAUACAUGUACAUCAAAUUAGUAUAAUGAAUGUUGAUAUUCGAGUUAUUAUGCAUAUUGUUAUAUGCUUUACCUAUGUAUCAGAUGUAUGCCAAGAAGGUUGUUGUCCAUAUUGUGAUAAACUUUACCUGUGCAUUGAGAGUAUGCAAUACAUGUUAUCUUGGUUAUUUUUGUACAUAUGAUUAUUGAUUACAUUAUAUGUACAUGCUUUCAAAGGAAAUGUUAUUUUUGCACUGGCUAGAAGUCUCGUCACGACCCUUUUGGAAAGUAGAUGAUACUUACCGAGUACAGAGGCGUAUUCAAUUUUUAAAAAUAUGGGUUCACGUGAACCCAUACUUUUCUCCCUGAACCAUGUAUAACAAUGUUAUAUUUUUUCAUAAUUACUUAAAUAUAUGUGUGUGAAUCCAUGCUCAAAACUCUUAUGGUGCAAUUAUUAUUGGGUGCACCUCUGCAAGUAAAAUUGGCGGUUCAAAUCCCACUCUGAACGGUUUUGUUUUCUGCACGGAGUAUAUAUGUGUGUGUGUGUGUGUGUGAAAAUUACUAAAAUUUCAAAAAAAAUAUAAUUUUGAACCUAUAAUUUCAAAAAUGUAGUGAGUUCAUGGUAAAAGACUAAAGUUAAAUCCGUCAAAUGUAAAUUCUAAAUCCAUUUUUUCACGACAAUGCACCCCUCAUCUUGAAAUCCUAGGUUCGCCUCUGAGUCUUAGUACACCUUUAAUCAUCCCUCUUCUUUUCUUAUAUGAUAUUGCAGACGCAGAUCCGACUACCAGUGGACUAUGUAGCUGAUUGUGAUCCGAAUUUUCAAAAAAGAAUUUGGUGGUGGUUGAAAUUCCUAUUUUAUAUUCUUUUUUUAUUUUUUAUUACCGGUUGUAACCUAUUUGAUUCUC